rnacentral:ncRNA from 1 species
UCAAGCUGGGUGCGCUGAGAGGCGCACGCCCAGUUUCAAGGGGAGGGAGUCGUAGCAAUACGACUUCCUUACCCGAC